rnacentral:rRNA from 1 species
GGGGAAUAUUGCACAAUGGAGGAAACUCUGAUGCAGCGACGCCGCGUGAGUGAUGAAGGCUUUCGGGUCGUAAAACUCUGUCCUAGGGGACGAUAAUGACGGUACCCUAGGAGGAAGCCCCGGCUAACUACGUGCCAGCAGCCGCGGUAAUACGUAGGGGGCGAGCGUUGUCCGGAAUUAUUGGGCGUAAAGGGUUCGCAGGCGGCCUUUUAAGUCAGAUGUGAAAGAUCACGGCUCAACCGUGGUAAGCAUUUGAAACUGGAAGGCUUGAGUUAAGGAGAGGAAAGUGGAAUUCCUAGUGUAGCGGUGAAAUGCGUAGAUAUUAGGAGGAAUACCAGUGGCGAAGGCGACUUUCUGGACUUAUACUGACGCUGGGGAACGAAAGCGUGGGGAGCAAAC